rnacentral:lncRNA from 1 species
AUGAGAUUUGCUUUUCUUCUUCUUCCGUUCUGGGGGAUGUGUCACUCUGCAGGAGCACAUGUGUGUGUCUGCUUGGAUCACAGCAACAUUUUACUGCAGAAGAUGGAGGGCUUGCCACAGCCAUCUGGAAUAUUGCUGGCUCCAGUGCUUCCAGGGGAAAAACAUGGACAAAAUGGAUUUUCCUCUGCCUGCUGGCAGAUGUCCAGGCUUUAUCCUUCAUUCAUCCCUGAGCCUGCUCUGCCCUCUCCCUGUGUCACUGAGUCCAGGGAUGCUCUGACCCAAGGCGCGACAUGGGACCGGCACGGUGAUGCCUUUGGCUGGGAAUCAGCUGCUGUCCCUGCAGCUCUGGGGGCUCCACCUCGGGGGUUUUCAUCUGCCAAGGCUCUGUGGAGAGAGCAGUGCCUAAAAUUAGACUGUGAGUAACGCCUGGGCCCCACCUCAGCAGUGAAACCUCGGUGAGAAAUGAAAUGUCACCGUGUCACUGACAUUUGCACCUCUCCCUCCGCAGAAACUCCGUGUCCUGCAGAGCUGGGGCUGUGCAAAGUGUGUGAAACCCUCCCUUCCCCAUUGCUCUUCCUGCUGUCUGCUUCAAAAUGGCAAGUGACUGUUCCAGCUGUGAG